GGCGGUGACACUCCAUGAUAUUCAGUGAUGAGGGGCUAUGAUGAACUGCAAAACCUUUAUUCGUCGGUUCGAUUCCGACCGCCGCCUCCA
rnacentral:tRNA from 1 species